rnacentral:misc_RNA from 1 species
GUUCCGGAGACUCUGCGGAGCUUUGUGAUCGAUGCGCGUGAGUUGUUGACUUCUCCACUGAAUUUUUUUUUUGGUGGGUUGGGUUGGGCUGAGGGUGAAUAUAAGAUUAUACUACUUGUUAGGGAUGUAUGGCUUUUGUUUUUUCGUUUGGUUAUUUUCUAUUUUUAGCAAGCUGUUGUGGUUCUGGAGCUGGAAAUUGGGGUUCGUGGGAGGUUAUUUC